CUUAAAUGAAUUGACGGGGCCCGCACAAGCGGUGGAGCAUGUGGUUUAAUUCGACGCAACGCGAAGAACCUUACCAGGGCUUGACAUCCCCUGACCGCGUAUGAAAGUACGUUUCACCCUCGGGUGACAGGGAGACAGGUGGUGCAUGGUUGUCGUCAGCUCGUGUCGUGAGAUGUUGGGUUAAGUCCCGCAACGAGCGCAACCCUUGUCAUUAGUUGCCAUCAUUUGGUUGGGCACUCUAAUGAGACUGCCGGUGACAAACCGGAGGAAGGUGGGGAUGACGUCAAGUCCUCAUGGCCCUUAUGGGUAGGGCUUCACACGUCAUACAAUGGUCGGUACAGAGGGUUGCCAACCCGCGAGGGGGAGCUAAUCCCACAAAGCCGAUCGUAGUCCGGAUCGCAGUCUGCAACUCGACUGCGUGAAGUCGGAAUCGCUAGUAAUCGUGGAUCAGCAUGUCACGGUGAAUACGUUCCCGGGUCUU
rnacentral:rRNA from 1 species